UACAGAGGCCUCGAGCGUUAGGUCGGAAUCAGCUGGGCUUAAAGCGUGUGUAGGCGGAUUGGUAAGUACCUUGUGAAAUCCCACAGCUUAAACUGUGGAACUGCUCGGUAUACUGCUGAUCUUGAGCCACUCAGGGCUACCGGAACAAAUGGUGGAGCGGUGAAAUGCGUAGAUAUCAUUUGGAACGCCUAAUGGUGAAAACAGGUAGCUGGGGGUGUGCUGACGCUGGAGAACACGAAAGCCAGGGGAGCAAACGGG
rnacentral:rRNA from 1 species